UCCACUCGGGUGCAGUACAGUAAUUAGAUUUAACUCCAGCACAGAACUGUUGUGCAAGAUGAACACAAUGGUACGGUUAACAAGUUAGAAUAGGAUGUUGAUUUUUCCUGCAAAUGCUAGAAGUAUUGCCAGUCUUCAUACUGCAGGACCGGGGUUCAAAUCCCAUCUGGACUGUACCCUCCAUAGUGAAGAUUGAUUAAGUCUAGCUGGCCAGAAAUAGCAUGCGUGACCCUAAGAGGUCGUUUUGCCAGUGGAGAAAAAGAAGAGGACAAGAGACAACUACAAUGAGUGUCAUCUCCUACAAGUUAUUUGAAAUUGAUCGUUGCUUUAAAUUUAAUUAGAAGCAUGAAUAUUAUAUUUUAAGAAAUAACACAAUAAACCCUUUUUGAAGAUAGUUUUAAGCAAU